rnacentral:rRNA from 1 species
AAAAGUCGUAACAAGGUUUCNGUAGGUGAACCUGCGGAAGGAUCAUUAUCGAGUCUUUGAAAGAGGUUGUAGCUGGUCCUUAGGGGCAUGUGCACGCCUCGCUCAUCCCAACUCUCUCAACCCCUGUGAACCCACUGUAGGUCGCGGUACUUCCAAAGGGAAGGGUGUUCGGGGCGCGAGCCCCUAACCUUGAACUGAGGGUCCGUCCUACGUCUUUAACAAACACCCAAAAUGUAUCAGAAUGUAUUCGCGCUUAAUAAACGCAUCAAUAUAACUUUCAGCAACGGAUCUCUUGGCUCUCGCAUCGAUGAAGAACGCAGCGAAAUGCGAUAAGUAAUGUGAAUUGCAGAAUUCAGUGAAUCAUCGAAUCUUUGAACGCACCUUGCGCCCUUUGGUAUUCCGAAGGGCAUGCCCGUUUGAGUGUCAUUGUAUUCUCAAACCCACCCCUCGCUUUUCGUGAGUGCGGUCGGGUUUGGAUUUGGAGGUUUUUGCGGUUUUUCAAAUUGCUCCUCUUGAAUGCAUUAGCUGGAACCUUUGGACCGGCCUUCGGUGUGAUAACUAUCUACGCCGUGGUCACCGGGUGUCGAGGAUCUGCUUAUAAUUGUCUCCGGACAAACUUUUCUGACAUCUGACCUCAAAUCGGGUAGGACUACCCGCUGAACUUAAGCAUAUCAAUAAGCGGAGGAAAAGAAACUAACAAGGAUUCCCCUAGUAACUGCGAGUGAAGAGGGAAAAGCUCAAAUUUAAAAUCUGGCGGUUUUGGCCGUCCGAGUUGUAGUCUGGAGAAGUGCUUUCCGCGCUNNNNNGUGUACANNUCNNNUGA